CAUGCCUACGACGUACGUCCCGUCUCACAUGAAAUUCUCUCGCUCCCGUUGUCGGUUCGGUUUCAGUUGGAUUAACCGAUUUUGAUCCCACUGUAUCUUUUCCAAUAACAAUGGCUUUUAAAUCCGAUCUUAUGCCCUUCCAUUUUGAUCUCUUGGUCAGAAAAAGCCCUAGAACUCUUGACCAUCCUCCUCUUCUCCGGUUGCUCCACUGGCUCCUCCGUCGCUCCUACUCCUACUUGAUGCCCAGAAAAAACGCCGACGUCCUCCUAUAUUGGGAAAAUCAUGAAUACUCCAUGUGCAGACGAGGUUGAGGUUGCGAAUGAGGAUGGAAAUGUAGAUUAUGCUACUACGAGAGAUGAUCAAGACAAUAGGAAGCAAGAAGGUAAUGUUGAUGUUGAUGAUCCUUAUGAUGUUGAAUGUGAAUAUUGUGGUGCUUUAUAUGCCAAUCGUUCAUAGAGAAAUAGAAUGGAAAAUAUGGAAGCACAUCCGAUUCCGACAACUAUCCUAUCGAUCGUCCUUGGUUGCGGUGGGGCAGAAGAUGGAUAUAAAGAGAAUUUGAUAUUAGAAAGUGAAGAGGAGGACGAGGAGGGUGUAGGGUGAGAACUCAAAGUCACAUUAGAUUCAACACUCAAUGGUGGAGUUUUUGAUGCAGAAGGCUGCAAGAAUACUAUGGGCAAAAAAUGAUCAUUAUUGAUAAACUGCCUCACAACUUUGGGAAACAUAUAUUGAAAAUAUAUCGAAGUGAGAAAAUGGAUCUCUGUAAAGAAGAUUUUUGUAGAACAAGAUCCUAGAGUUUCUCUCACAAUUGAUACUUAGGCGUUAGAUCAAGAUACUAACUAUACAGUUCUUACUAGACAUUUCAUUGAUGUCAAUUAGAAAAUGCAGAAGAAGGUUGUCAAUUGAUGUCAAA